rnacentral:rRNA from 1 species
CAGCAGCCACGGUAAUACGUAGGGUGCGAGCGUUAAUCGGAAUUACUGGGCGUAAAGCGUGCGCAGGCGGUUAUAUAAGACAGAUGUGAAAUCCCCGGGCUCAACCUGGGACCUGCAUUUGUGACUGUAUAGCUAGAGUACGGUAGAGGGGGAUGGAAUUCCGCGUGUAGCAGUGAAAUGCGUAGAUAUGCGGAGGAACACCGAUAGCGAAGGCAAUCCCCUGGACCUGUACUGACGUUCAUGCACGAAAGCGUGGGGAGCAAACAGGAUUAGAUACCCCCGUAGUCCCUGUCUCUUAUAA